GACGAACGCUGGCGGCGUGCCUAAUACAUGCAAGUUGAGCGCUGAAGGUUGGUACUUGUACCAACUGGAUGAGCAGCGAACGGGUGAGUAACGCGUGGGGAAUCUGCCUUUGAGCGGGGGACAACAUUUGGAAACGAAUGCUAAUACCGCAUAAAAACUUUAAACACAAGUUUUAAGUUUGAAAGAUGCAAUUGCAUCACUCAAAGAUGAUCCCGCGUUGUAUUAGCUAGUUGGUGAGGUAAAGGCUCACCAAGGCGAUGAUACAUAGCCGACCUGAGAGGGUGAUCGGCCACAUUGGGACUGAGACACGGCCCAAACUCCUACGGGAGGCAGCAGUAGGGAAUCUUCGGCAAUGGACGAAAGUCUGACCGAGCAACGCCGCGUGAGUGAAGAAGGUUGUCGGAUCGUAAAACUCUGUUGGUAGAGAAGAACGUUGGUGAGAGUGGAAAGCUCAUAAAGUGACGGUAACUACACAGAAAGGGACGGCUAACUACGUG
rnacentral:rRNA from 1 species